rnacentral:rRNA from 1 species
GUCUAGGGCCAUACCAUCCUGGACGCACACCAUUUCCUCAAAUCUGGGAAGCUCAGCAGGGUCAGGCCUGGUUAGUACUUGGAUGGGAGA